ensembl:lncRNA HLA-V major histocompatibility complex, class I, V (pseudogene)
AGUCGCCGAGGAUGGUGUCAUGGCGCCCCGAACCCUGCUUCUGCUGCUCUCGGGGGCCCUGGUCCUGACCCAGACCUGGGCAGGCUUCCACUCCUUGAGGUAUUUCCACACCACCAUGUCCCGGCCCGGCCGCGCGGAUCCCCGCUUCCUCUCCGUGGGCGACGUGGACGACACGCAGUGCGUGCGGCUCGACAGCGACGCCACGAGUCCCAGGAUGGAGCCGCGGGCGCCGUGGAUGGAGCAGGAGGGGCCGGAAUAUUGGGAAGAGGAGACAGGGACCGCCAAGGCCAAAGCACAGUUUUACCGAGUGAACCUGCGGACCCUGAGCGGCUACUACAACCAGAGUGAGGCCUGGGCUGCCAGCCACACAGAGUCAUGGACAGGUCUCUACAGACACAACUUAGUGCCAGCUUGGAUGAAACCCUCUGAGGAAUGGGUGCCAUCUUUCAGGAUGUGGUGCAUGUAUUGAAUCAAAGAUGUCUCUAUAGUGCUGUGUUUACAGAAGGAAGAAUACGUGGGUCCAAAAACCAAGAAGUAGAAGCAGGUGUGGCUCCAUAUCUAAACCCUUAUAUUCACCUUCAGGGUGAUUUUGCACUUCUCAUCUCCAAUAUCUGGGCUCUGUAGGGGAGGAGGUCCUGGUUUCCCAAAGGGGGCACCCUGGCAAGGAGACAUUUAAAUGAGAGUCCAUGGAAAUACACAUUAUGGCUGCCCCCAGGGAUGUUUGAAUAGUAUGUGUCCAGAUACAAGCAGGUGAGAAGAGGAGGAGGCAGGGCUGCUAUCACACAAGGAGGGCAGGAGAUGUGUGUGUGGAAAUAAGAGAUCCACUUGGAGACCUUAUGGUUCCCCUUGUCCUGUUGUAAGUGUGAGCAGAAUCAUCCAGCAACCCAGCCUGAGAGGGUUUCAUAUUCAAGAGCCCAGAACCCUCAGGAAGGAAGGAUUGAGUGAUACUCACAGGUAAUGUCCCAAGGCUGUGCUCCUGUGCUCUGACAUCCUCAGCAGGAUUGGUGCAAAGCCCUGCUUCCCAUGGGCUGUUCCCAGCCAGUGACUGGUCACAGCAGGCAUUAAGGCAAGCCAUUCCUGGGAGACACGGGACUCCUCUGAUGGCUAACUGUAGCUGGAAGACUCCUCCACGGCCUUGCUCAACUCUCCUUAGAUUGCCUGUGCUCUAGGAUGCGUCAAACAAACUUUCUCUCCUUCUGUCCAGCACUUGGGGUCACACUUGCAUCGUGGUCUGCCGCCUUUUCUCAGGGAUUUCUGGCUCACUUCCCAUAUUCCCUUACGGGUGUGUCCCCUUAUAAGAUGUCGCAGACUUUAAGCUCAUCUUGGCAUCUGCUCCUUGAAGGACUUGGACUAAAAAUUAUUUCCAUCUGCAUAUCAAUAACUCUUAUUCCAACCUGUAAAAUCCUUCUCUUUAUCCAACUUCUGCCACCCCCACAGAAUCUAUUUUACUUGUGUGUGUAGUAUCUCUUUGAGUUAACAGAUAUUUGUUCUAUUAAGCUACUAAAUUUUGAGGUAGUUUGUGACACAGUACUUGAUAACUAUUAAGGCUUUCUUAAGUUUCCAUUAUUCCAUGGAUAUUAUCUACAUAUCUUUUAAUCCCUUGCAUUUUAAUAACUUAGCUAUACUUGCUGUUUCCAACUCUUUCCUCCUAUUUUUGAACAUUUUAAAUUUUGUCUUUCUCUGUCCUUCCUUCCUUCUUUCCUCCUUUCCUCCCUCAGAGCUUUCUCCCUCCCUCCAUUUUUUUCAUAAACUCCAAGUGUUUAGGCCAAAAGGAAGCAUUAUUUGAACUUUAUGCUAAAAGUAUAAUGCCGUAAUUUAUAAUAUAAAAGUAAAGAAAAGGAAGUUGUUAAUGGAAUAUGAAAAAAUGCCUAGGGUGAUUCUAUAGCCAAGACAGUACCUUUUAACAUUUAAUUUCUGCCUCCAACUGAAUGUUUUCAGAACACAUGAGCAACACAAGCUCUUUCCCAUUCUUGGUACAAGCACUUGAGAAAUCAAAUUAGCCUUAUCUAGUAUGAUUAAUGUCCAUACAUCAUAUAAUCCCACCAUCUGCCUCCUGAUCAUACCCCCUGGGGACAUUCUUGGCUAUGUGUCCAGGAGACAUGUACACCAAUGUUUAUGGCAAAAACUGGAAACAAUCACAUAUACAUCAAUGGGAAUUAACAAAAUAGUCGUAUAAUAAUAAAAAGUAAAACUUCAGCAGCAACAGUGAAUGAACAGCACCCUCCCACAUCAGAGAUAACUCUCCUACACAUAACAUGCAUCAGCAUCACAGAAGAAUGCACAUUGUGUGAGUUCUCUGUACGGGGAAGUUAAAAAAAGCAGGUCAAACUGUGAUUUGGAUAUAUAUAUAUAUACUUAUUGUAAAAAUCUUUAGAGACAAUGAAAAGGAAUAGUAAAUACAAGACUCAAGAUAGAAGUUCCUUUUGGGGAAUAGAAUUGGACAACAGCCGAGGGUGGCUUCAUAGGUUUUGUUUUUUAUGCCAGGAGGGGAUGUCCAGGUAGUUAAGUUACUUGAUCAUAAAUCUUUCUUUCUUUCUUUCUUUCUUUCUUUCUUUCUUUCUUUUUUUUUUUUUUUUUUUUUUUGAGACGGAGUCUCGCUCUGUCGCCCAGGCUGGAGUGCAGUGGCGUGAUCUCAGUUCACUGCAACCUCCGCCUCCCAGGUUCAAGCAAUUCUCCUACCUCAGCCUCCUGAGUAGCUGGAAUUAUAGGCAUCCACCACGACACCCAGGUAAUUUUUGUAUUUUUAGUAGAGACGGGGUUUCACCAUAUUGUCCAGGUUGGUCUCAAACUCCUGACCUCAGGUGAUCCGCCAACUUCGGCCUUCCAAAGUGCUGGGAUUACAGACAUGAGCCACCAUUCCCGGCCCACAAAUCUUUAAAGUGUCAUUUUUCAAAAUGCACCUUGUGUGCCAUUCCUGACUGAUUAUUUGGAAAUGAAAGAGAAAAGAAAAUACCAAAGUUCAUCUCAAGGAUCCUUAGCAAUAACUACACACGUUAAAACAAAGCCACAGCCAAUUGUAAAGAGUCAUGUGACAGAGAGGACCAGGAUCUCAUGAAAAAUAGCCUUGGCUAGAAAGAGGUCAUUUGACCCUGGGCUAAUUGGCAACUCUCUACAUUGUCUGGCAUACAGUGUUCAAUCUGAUGUGCAAGGCAAUUGUAUCUUGCAAAGAAUUUGAGAAUUUGAUAUGUUGCUCACAUUUUACCACACAUACAAGUGGAUUAAACUUUUACACAGUAAAAAAAAAAAGCAUUGUUGAGCAAAAUAAAUUAAAUGAAAAGACAUAAAGGAAUAACUAGUGAUGAAAUAGCAAUAAGAAUGGAAAACAUGAAAGAGAUGCUUGUACAGCAAUGAUAGCAGCACAAAAGAACAGUGUUUUUCAGAAUCAUACGGGAGUCCAAAUCACUUCUACCACAUCUAAUUAAAAAACACAGUGAAAGAUGUUAAACUUUCAUAGGAUGCCCACUGAAUAGCCAGUUAUUGAAAAAUCUUGUUCCUAGAUUGGAGUAAACAAUUUCUGCCUACCCUAGCCAAACAAAUUAUUGUCAUGAUGCUAAGCUAGUGUAUAGACAGAGGUGUGAGAUUCACAUUUUUCUAACUGCAAAGCACCCUGAUUAGGCAAAUAUUUUUGUAGAUGCUUGAGUAAGAAAAUUGGCAUUUUGGGCAUUCUUAAACCGAAUUAGAAACUUCUGAAGAGAAACAAACGUAGUUAUGAUUGUAAAGGCAUUAUUGUAUGGCACCAAAGUCUUGGGACACUUUAAUUUAGCUACUGUAUUUUCUCAACUCUGUUGCAACUUAUCAAAGAGAAUAUUAAUAUUAAAGGCAUUUACAAAAAAAAUCUGAGAUAUUGUUGUAUCUUCUUUCUCUGUCUCAAAUAUUUAAUCAACUUUACAGAAGAGAAUUUUAAAGUAUUAAAAAAAGUCAGAUACAAGAAGUAUUUGAUUUACAAAACCCUGAAACAAUAAUGUUAAUUUUGCUUUUAACAUGUUUAUAAAUUCUUUGAUACUCCUCCUUUCCAGAAGUGCAGCUUCAUUCCCUCCCUGUUCGUGUGGCCUGGACUUAAUGACUCACUUCUAACUGAUAGAGUAAUGCUGACAUAAUAGUUUGUGAUUCUGGGUGUAGAACAUAAGACUCACUGAAGUUUCUACUUUGGUUCUUUCUUUCUCUGGAAUCAUGAGCCCUGGGGGAAGCUGGCUGUUGUGUCAUAAGGAGGCCUGUGGUCCAUGUGACUAGGAAGUGAGUCCUCCUGGGACCAGACAAUAAGAAGCUAAAGCCUCUUCCAAAAGCCAUGUGAGAGAUUCUUGUGUCUUGUGAAUCCCCAGCCCCAUUUGAGCCCUCAGAUGAUUCAGCCCUGGAAGACAACUAGACUGCAACGUUGUGAGAGGCCCUGAGCCAGAAGCAUUCAGAGAAACUUCUCCUGGAUUCCUGACCAUGGAUAACUGUGGGAGAUGAUAAAUAUUUGUUGAUUUGAGCUGCUAAGUUGUAGGUGACUUGUUAUGCAGCAGUAGAUAACUAAUACAGCUUCACAAGAGAGGAUGAAUCACUGAACUUUUUCAUUUGCUCUAAAUUCAUUAUAAGAUAUUAAACAUGUCAUUUGCUUUUAAUAUUUAAUAAAAAUUUCCAUGGCUAUAUAAGAUA